UUUAUUGCUACUAUGAAAUAAAGCUAAAGCACAAAUUAAUAGCUUUAGCUUGCUAUUUCAUAAGCACAAAAUAAGAAUAAAUUUUGAUAUAUAAAUUAUAAAUGUAAUUUGUAAAUUUAAAUUUACAAAUUAUAUAAGUAUGGAAAGAAAUUAUUGUAGAAUUUAAGCUAUAUAUUAAAGAGAAUUAUUUAUAUAAAUAGGUUGCAAGCUAAGCAAUAAAGCUAAAGCUGUACCUAUAAGUAUAUUAACUCUAAGAGAAAUCUAGUAAUAAACGAAGUGAAUUGAAAUAUCUUAGUAACUUUAGGAAAAGAAAUCAAAAGAGAUUCUAUGAUUAGCGUGAGCUAAAAUAGACUAGCCUAAAAAGUAAAAUGGUAGAUAAACUGUUUAAAUUAAAUGGGGAACCUUCCUCAAAGGCUAAAUAUAAUAUAUAAGCGAUAGUGAAAAGUACCGUGAGGGAAUUAAAACAAAAACAGUAAUUUUAUAAGCAGUUCGGAAAAAUAAAAAAGUUAGAACGUACCUUUUGCAUAAUGGGUCACCAAGUUAACAUUAGAUGCGAGAUUAUACGUAGUUAAACCGAGCGUUAAAAUAACGGAAAGUGUCUAAAGUUAGACCCGAAGCCUGGUGAUUUUACUAUAAUCAGGAUUAUAAAAGUCCGAACGGAAUAUUGUAGCAUAAAUAUCCGAAGAAUUAUGGUAGGUGUAGUGAAAGACAAUACUGACCAGGAUAGCUGGUUUUCUGCGAAACCUAUAAUAGUAGGCAAUUUAAGUAUAAUAUCUUAGCAGGUACAGAAUUUAAUCUCAGACAAGGCAUAUAAAAUGUUUUAUUUUGUACAAAUUGGGGGAUCAUGAAGAUUUUAUCAGUGAGUAUGUAGACUCGGAAUGGCAAAGAUAUAUCUUAAAUCAUCAGACAUAGAAUGAUAAGGUUGUAUGUCAAAAGGGAAACAGCCCAGAACAAGAGUUAAGGUUCCUAAAUUAUUAGUUGAGUGAAAUUAAGAAGGUUUUUAUUAAAGUCGACAAGGAGAUAGGCUUAGAAGCAGCCAUAAUUUUAUGACCUCGUAACAGAGCGCUUGUUAAGUUUUAAAAGCAUCGAAAAUUUAUCGGAUCUAAACAAUAUACCGAAACCUUGUCCAUAAUAUUUAUAAUUAAAAUAAUAGUUAUAAUUAAAUGGGGUAGCAGAACGUUGAGUUAAAUUAUGAUUUUUAUUUUUAAAUGAAAUUAUAAUAAUUUAACUCAAGUGAUAAUGGUGACAUGAGUAACUAAAAGAAAAUUUUCCGCCUAAAGCUUAUGGAUCUAAUUAAGUAACGGCCUCUAAGUUUAUAUUAUCUAAAGAUUUAAACGAUGAGAUAAUCUUUUUUACUAAGGACGACAUUUAAAGUGAAAAAUGUACUGGAAAAAUAGUAAUAUAUUUAUUUUUAGCGCUAGCUUGCUAUUUCAUUAGCAAGCUCGCUUUAGCUUGCUAAUUCAUAAAGCAAGAAAUAAAUGAAAAGUAACCGUACCUAGAAACUGAAACAAGUAAGUUAGUAGAGAAUACGAAGGCGUAAAUGAGCUAACAAUCAUAAAGGAACUCGGCAAAUUGACUACCGUAACUUCGGGAUAAGGAGAGCUCAUUAUUCUUGAUUAAUAUCAAGUAAAGAGGAAGAAGCAUGAAAUAGUGUUGUACGACUGUUUAAUUAAAACACAGCACUUUGCUGAAAGAUUAAAAAUCUAAGUAUAGAGUGUGAUGUCUGCCCGGUGCCGGCUGGUUAACAGAUAUAAUUAGAUAUAUUAAUAUUUGAUGUAGACGGAAACCCCGGUUAAAGGCGGCCUUAACGUGAGGGUCCUAAGGUAGCGAAAUGCCUUGGCCGUUAAAUGCGGUCUUGCAUGAAUGAUGUAACGAUACAACAGCUGUCUCUAUGAUUGACUCAGUGAAAUUGGAAUAGCUGUGCAGAUACAGUUUACCUCUAGUUAGACGAGAAGACCCUAUGCAGCUUUACUGUCACUAAUUAUAGAGUAUGAUAAACAAUUUUCAGAUUAUAAGGUAAUUGACAAUAUGACAAUGAGAAUCCUUUAUUUUUUUUUCAUAUGAAUGAAUUGGUUUAGGAUUAUGAGUUGUUAGUUGGCUUUAAAUAGUCAACUAACAACUUAUUUUAGUAAAUCAACCUAAUUCAGCUUAUUAUUAUUUCACUAGUUUACUAGUGAAAUGGAUAAGUACCCUUUGGUAAGGAACUAUCGCUAGGGGACAGUUUAUGUGGGGCACAGACCCUGUAAAGAGUAAACAGGAGUGUCUAAUAAUUUAUAAUUAUUUUGUUUGCGAUUUAAGGUAGUUUAACUAUUUUUAAUCAUAUAAAAUUAUUUAUAUGUACAUUCGUUGUAUAUAUAUUUAAAAAAAGGUAGGAUUUUCACUAUAUAGAAAUUAGAGAUAAUAAAAAUAUUAAGAAUAAUUCUUUAGCUUGUUAUUUCAUUAGUAGGCUAAAGAAGAUAAAUCUAAUGUUUUUUAACUAUUAUUAAUAAUAGUUAUGUUUUAAUUAUCUAAAAAGCUCAACGGCUAAAUCUUGCCUUACUGUUUGAUUAUCUACAAAUCUUACAGUUGCGUAAGCAG
rnacentral:rRNA from 1 species